AACCCAUGGUGAGGGCCCCUUCUCAAUAAAUCCUUAUACCUCUCCCAUGCAUCAUAAAGGGUUUAUAAAUCUAUUUGCACAAAGAAAGAGAUAUCAUUCCUCAACUU
rfam:Gossypium arboreum cultivar AKA8401 contig_295_1, whole genome shotgun sequence.